rnacentral:rRNA from 1 species
UGGGGAAUUUUGGACAAUGGGCGAAAGCCUGAUCCAGCAAUGCCGCGUGUGUGAAGAAGGCCUUCGGGUUGUAAAGCACUUUUGUCCGGAAAGAAAUCCUUGGCUCUAAUACAGUCGGGGGAUGACGGUACCGGAAGAAUAAGCACCGGCUAACUACGUGCCAGCAGCCGCGGUAAUACGNAGGGUGCAAGCGUUAAUCGGAAUUACUGGGCGUAAAGCGUGCGCAGGCGGUUUGCUAAGACCGAUGUGAAAUCCCCGGGCUCAACCUGGGAACUGCAUUGGUGACUGGCAGGCUAGAGUAUGGCAGAGGGGGGUAGAAUUCCACGUGUAGCAGUGAAAUGCGUAGAGAUGUGGAGGAAUACCGAUGGCGAAGGCAGCCCCCUGGGCCAAUACUGACGCUCAUGCACGAAAGCGUGGGGAGCAAAACAGGAUCAUAAUACCCUGGUAGUCCACGCCCUAAACGAUGUCAACUAGUUGUUGGGGAUUC